rnacentral:rRNA from 1 species
UGUUCGAUUAAGCCAUGCGAGUCGAGAGGGGUCAUGCCCUCGGCGGACUGCUCAGUAACACGUGGACAACUUACCCAUGAGUCCGGGAUAACCCCGGGAAACUGGGGAUAAUACCGGAUAGAUCAUCUUCGCUGGAAGGCUUGGUGGUUGAAACUUCCGGGGCUUUUGGAUGGGUCUGCGGCUGAUUAGGUUGUUGCCGGUGUAACGUACCGUCAGGCCUGUAAUCAGUACGGGUUGUGGGAGCAAGAGCCCGGAGAUGGAUUCUGAGACACGAAUCCAGGCCCUACGGGGCGCAGCAGGCGCGAAAACUCUACAAUGCAGGCAACUGCGAUAGGGGAACAUCGAGUGAUCCUCAUAUUGGGGGUCUGUCCACCCGUCUAAAAAACGGGUGUUAGCAAGGGCCGGGCAAGACCGGUGCCAGCCGCCGCGGUAAUACCGGCGGCUCGAGUGGUGGCCGAUAUUAUUGAGUCUAAAGGGUCCGUAGCCGGCUUUGCAAGUCUCUCGGGAAAUCCAGCGGC